rnacentral:rRNA from 1 species
AACGAACGCUGGCGGCAUGCCUAACACAUGCAAGUCGAACGACACCUUCGGGUCUUGUGGCUCACGGGUGCGUAACGAGUGGGAACCUGCCCUUAGGAUCGGGAUAACUCCCCGGAAAGAGUGCGACUACCGCAUAAUGUCUACGGCCUAAAGAUUUAUCGCCAUUGCAUGGGCCCGCGUUGGCUUACAUUGUUGGUAGGGUAAAAGCCUACCAAGGCGACAAGCCAUAUCUGGUCUGAGAGGGACGUCGGCCACACUGGGACUGGGACACGGCGCCGACUCCUGCGGGAGGCAGCAGUGGGGAAUAUUGGACAAUGGGCGAAAGCCUGAUCCAGCAAUGCCGCGUGAGUGAUGAAGGCCUUAGGGUUGUAAAGCUCUUUUACCCGGGAUGAUAAUGACAGUACCGGGAGAAUAAGCUCCGGCUAACUCCGUG